UGGAUAGAGUCGUCCUAGAAUAAACGC
rnacentral:piRNA from 1 species